UGAGUACGAGACGCUAAGGCGUUGAAGCAGUCUAUGUCAGACUUCCAAGAAAAGCUCGCAAUGUCAUAAACAACAAAUGCCUGUACCAUAACCGACACAGGUGGGUAGGUAGAGUAUACUAAGGGGCGCGAGAUAACUCUCUCUAAGGAACUCGGCAAAAUGACUCCGUAACUUCGGGAGAAGGAGUGCCUUCUUGAAGAAGGUUGCAAUAACAAGAUCCAAGCAACUGUUUACCAAAAACACAGGUCUCCGCUAAGUCGUAAGACGAUGUAUGGGGGCUGACGCCUGCCCAGUGCCAGAAGGUUAAAGAAGUUGGUUAGCCUAGCGAAGCUGAUGACUGAAGCCCUGGUGAACGGCGGCCGUAACUAUAACGGUCCUAAGGUAGCGAAAUUCCUUGUCGGGUAAGUUCCGACCCGCACGAAAGGCGUAAUGAUUUGGAUACUGUCUCGGAGAGGGGCUCGGUGAAAUAGACUUGUCUGUGAAGAUGCGGACUACCUGCACCUGGACAGAAAGACCCUAUGAAGCUUUGCUGUAACUUGAGAUUGAAAUUGGACUUUGUUUGCGCAGUAUAGGUGGGAGACUUUGAGAAUAUUCUUGCGGGAAUAUUGGAGUCAUCAGUGAGAUACCACUCUUGUAAUGUUAGAUUUCUAACUUUGGAUCAUUAUCUGGUCAAAGGACAGUUUCAGGCGGGCAGUUUGACUGGGGCGGUCGCCUCCCAAACGGUAACGGAGGCGCACAAAGGUUUCCUCUGAACGUGUAGAAAUCGUAUCUAGAGUGUAAAGGCAUAAGGAAGCUUGACUGUGAGACCUACAAGUCGAGCAGGGACGAAAGUCGGUCUUAGUGAUCUGACGGUGCUGAGUGGAAAGGCCGUCACUCAACGGAUAAAAGUUACUCUAGGAUAACAGGCUGAUCUCCCCCAAGAGUUCACAUCGACGGGGAGGUUUGGCACCUCGAUGUCGGCUCAUCGCAUCCUGGGGCGGUAGUACGUCCCAAGGGUUGGGCUGUUCGCCCAUGAAAGCGGUACGCGAGCUGGGUUCAGAACGUCGUGAGACAGUUCGGUCCAUAUCCGGUGUAGGCGUUAGAAUAUUGAGAGGAGCCUUCUUUAGUACGAGAGGACCGAGAAGGACAUACCUCUGGUGUACCAGUUAUCGUGCCAACGGUAAACGCUGGGUAGCUAUGUAUGGAGUGGAUAACCGCUGAAAGCAUCUAAGUGGGAAGCCCACCUCAAGAUAAG
rnacentral:rRNA from 1 species